AACGAACGCUGGCGGCGUGCCUAACACAUGCAAGUCGAACGAGAAAGGGGCUUCGGCCCUGAGUAAAGUGGCGCACGGGUGAGUAACACGUGGGUAACCUGCCUCUGAGACCGGGAUAACCUGUCGAAAGAUGGGCUAAUACCGGAUAAGACCACGAUUCCCGCGGGAGUCGAGGUCAAAGGUAGCCUCUGCAUGCAAGCUAUCACUUAGAGAUGGGCCUGCGCACCAUUAGCUAGUUGGUAGGGUAACGGCCUACCAAGGCAAAGAUGGUUAGCUGGUCUGAGAGGAUGAUCAGCCACACUGGAACUGAGACACGGUCCAGACUCCUACGGGUGGCAG
rnacentral:rRNA from 1 species